UAUAAUUAAGUAUAAGAUGUACAUGAAAUUUUGAUUUUCAUAGGGAUAGUUUAAUUCUAUUAAUUAUAA
rnacentral:tRNA from 1 species